rnacentral:piRNA from 1 species
UGAAACUUUUUCUCUGGUUAACAUUGCC